CUUCUUGCGUGACGUAUAAUCUAGUGGACGGAACUGGAAGCGUCUUCAACAGCGACAAAGGGCUUUCUGAUUCACCCACCGCGGUGGUUUGCUAGCGAACCUAAAACAUUGAUGUGUAUAUUACUCUUGGUGUUUAGAACAUAAUUCUGUUUACGUGUUUACGUUUCUACUAGUUCAUUUAAACGUGAUUUGAUACGGCACGAGGCUAAUCGCUCGGAACAUGAGCUCACUAAGCUCGACGGAGAAAGAAGCUCUGGUGAAAGGAGAGGAAGAAGCUUUCAGGAUGAAAAGAGAGGAAGAGGAGGCUAUCACAUUGAAAGAAGAAGAGGAUGAUAUUACAGUUAAAGAGGAAGAUGGGAAAGAGGUUGUCAAAGUGGAAGGGGAGGAGGUAGAAGCUUUCAGAAUCAAAAAGGAGGAAGAUGCCAUAACAUUGAAAGAAGAGAAUGAAGUGAAAGAAGAGGAAGAACCAUUUGGAGUAAAAGAGGAAGAGGAGGAUAUCUCAAUAAAACAGGAGGAGACUGAAGUUCCGAUUCCCACCAGAGAGAGACAUGACUAUCCUGGAUCCUCUGGGGAGCCUCAACAACAUCCUGAUGUUGACGAGGCAGAGAAGAGUCUCUCCAGAUCAGAACACCAGAUGUACAGCUUGGUCUGGUCUAGCAUACAGCUUGGACAAAGCUAGCCCUUCCUCCCUCCCAGAGUCCCUGUGUCAUGCCUCUCCCGGUAGCACUUUACUGCUGGGUAUGAAGAGGUUGUCUGUGCUGCUGGUGGACUGCAGGAAAACAACGGAGCUGACUGGAACUGUGAGAGGAGGAGAAGAGAAGGAAGGAUCAGAUUUGACACAUCAAAGAGGAAAACCAAACUCUGCGGAACCAGGGACUUCCAAACCAGCAAGACAACACCUCUGCUCCCAGAUUGGAAAGAGUUUUACCAAGUUAGGAAGCCUGAAAAGACAUGAGAGGACACAACCAGCAGAGAAGCCACACAAUUGCGCACAGUGUGGAAAGAGUUUUAACCAGUUAGGAAAGCUGAAAGUUCAUGAGCGAAUACACACAGGGGAGAAGCUUUUCCAUUGCGCCGAGUGUGGAAAGAGUUUUAACAAGUUAGGAAACAUGAAAUCUCAUGAGCGAAUACACACAGGUGAGAAGCCUUACCACUGCUCCCAGUGUGGAACUAGGUUUACCAAGUUAGGAAGCCUGAACAGACAUCAGAGGACACACACAGGGUCGAAGCCACACCAUUGCUCCCAGUGUGGAAAGAGUUUUAACCAGUUAGGAAACAUGAGAUCUCAUGAGCGAAUACACACAGGGGAGAAGCCUUUCCAUUGCUCCCAGUGUGGAAAGAGUUUUAGCCAGUUAGGAAGCCUGAAAACCCAUGAGCGAAUACACACAGGGGAGAAACCUUACCACUGUUCCCAGUGUGGAAAGCGUUUUAACCGGUUAGGAAAGCUGAAAGAACACAUGAGACUGCACUCAGGGGAGAAGCCUUACAAAUGCUCAGACUGUGGGAAGACAUAUUACUCAUCACAGUCACUUAAAAGUCAUAUGAAAAUCCACAAAUGUAUAAUAAUUACUUCUAUUGUGUAAAUUGAUAUUUCACAUCUCAUUGACUUAAAAUUCAUCAGGGGACAUACACUGUGCUCCCAUUAUCUUAUAUUGUUGACUGACAAUGUGUUUACCUGUUAAAACCAGAUGAAAUUAAAUUGUACAAAGUAUUCUUAAACAUAUAUUUGUAUGUUUUUAUUAGAAAACAUAAAGUGAAUAUGGAGUUAUGUCAGUUUGAAUAUAGAGUAGAUCAGAUUCCAACUGUUUAAAUGGUCCUUUUUUUUAAACUGUGUGUUUAUCUGGGUGUGUCAUUCCUCCAGCACUACAGAUAAUACAGUGAUAUUUGGAUGUGAUGCAUUAGUUCCAUUGUUGACAUUUGCAUUGUAGCCCACUGAUGAUUUAAUGACAUGAAAAUGUUCACUGACUCGCUCCUGGAUUGACCCAAGCCUCCCACUGUAUGAAUAAAUGUUGUUUCCACGUCAUUUCAACUAAAUAAAUCCAUGUGAUGUUUGAUCAAUGAUAUGAAAUUAAAAUGAUUCCAUGUGAUGUUUGAUCAAUGUAGAAAACUGAUUGGAUUUGUAAAAAGCAUCAACAUAAGGUUAUUCACUGAACUUGCAAUUUAAAUCCAAUGACAAGUGACAUUUUGUGUUGAUUUAAUGUUAAAUUUACUUUAGUUGACGAAUCAAAGAAAUGUAAAUAGAAACUAGAUAUUGAACUGAUGUCUGUGCACAGUGGGCUGGUUUGAAUAAGCAGCAGGUUUUGGAUCAAUAUCCACCUUAGUAGCUAAAUUUCCGUGCAAUUUGCGACAGAUUUUCAUGUGAAUAUUCUCAAAUCUGCAUAAAACAAUAUAUACAUUUUCCCACCAGAAAUGUUUCUAUCAAACAGGUUUAUUGCAGAUUAAAGGCU